AUUGAACGCUGGCGGCAUGCUUUACACAUGCAAGUCGAACGGCAGCACAGGGAACUUGUUCCUGGGUGGCGAGUGGCGAACGGGUGAGUAAUGUAUCGGAACGUGCCUGGUAGUGGGGGGUAACUACUCGAAAGAGUGUCUAAUACCGCCAGAAAUCCUUGGAUGAAAGCGGGGGAGCUUGAAACAUGCUGUUACUGCACCGACCGAUGUUCGAUCAGGUUGUUGGUGGGGUAAAGGGCUACCAAGCCUGCGAUCUGUAGCUGGUCUGAGAGGACGACCAGCCACACUGGGACUGAGCCACGGCCCAGACUCCAACGGGAGGCAGAAGAGGGGAAUUUUGGACAAUGGGCGCAAGCCUGAUCCAGCAAGGCCGCGUGGAGGACGAAGGCCUUCGGGUUUUAAACUGCGUUUGUACAGAACGAAAAGUCUCUGGCUAAUAUGUAGAGAUCAUGACGGUACUGUAAGAAUAAGCACCGGCUAACUACGUG
rnacentral:rRNA from 1 species